rnacentral:rRNA from 1 species
GAAUGAACGUUGGCGGCGUGGAUUAGGCAUGCAAGUCGAGCGAGAACCCCGCAAGGGGGGACAGCGGCGAAAGGGACAGUAAUGUGUAGAUCAUCUGCCCUCAGGUCCGGGAUAGCUGCGGGAAACUGCAGGUAAUACCGGAUAAUAUCUCCGGAUCAAAGGUGUGAUUCCGCCUGGGGAUGAGUCUACAUCCUAUUAGCUAGUUGGUAGGGUAACGGCCUACCAAGGCAAUGAUGGGUAGCGGGUGUGAGAGCACGACCCGCGUCAUUGGGACUGAGACACUGCCCAGACACCUACGGGUGGCUGCAGUCGAGAAUCUUCGGCAAUGGGCGCAAGCCUGACCGAGCGACGCCGCGUGCGGGAUGAAGGCCUUCGGGUUGUAAACCGCUGUCAGAGGGGAUGAAAUGCUAGAGGGUUCUCUCUCUAGUUUGACAUAGCCUCAGAGGAAGGGCGGGCUAAGUUCGUGCCAGCAGCCGCGGUAAGACGAACCGCCCAAACGUUAUUCGGAAUCACUGGGCUUAAAGGGUGCGUAGGCGGCACGGAAAGUUGGGUGUGAAAUCCCUCGGCUCAACCGAGGAACUGCGCCCAAAACUAUCGUGCUAGAGGGAGAUAGAGGUAAGCGGAACUGAUGGUGGAGCGGUGAAAUGCGUUGAUAUUAUCAGGAACACCGGUGGCGAAGGCGGCUUACUGGAUCUCUUCUGACGCUGAGGCACGAAAGCUAGGGGAGCGAACGGGAUUAGAUACCCCGGUAGUCCUAGCUGUAAACGAUGAGCACUUGAUUGGAGGGUCCUCCAUAGCCUUCCAGUCGUAGCGAAAGUGUUAAGUGCUCCGCCUGGGGAGUAUGGUCGCAAGGCUGAAACUCAAAGAAAUUGACGGGGGCUCACACAAGCGGUGGAGGAUGUGGCUUAAUUCGAGGCUACGCGAAGAACCUUAUCCUAGUCUUGACAUGCACGGAUUAACCCCUGGAAACAGGGGCCACGCCUUCGGGUGGAACGUGCACAGGUGCUGCAUGGCUGUCGUCAGCUCGUGUCGUGAGAUGUCGGGUUAAGUCCCUUAACGAGCGAAACCCUUGUCACUAGUUGCCAGCGCGUCAUGGCGGGGACUCUAGUGAGACUGCCGGUGUUAAACCGGAGGAAGGUGGGGAUGACGUCAAAUCAGCACGGCCCUUAUGUCCGGGGCGACACACGUGUUACAAUGGGGGGUACAGAGGGCAGCCAUCCGGUGACGGAGCGCCAAUCUCCAAAACCCUUCUCAGUUCGGAUUGGAGUCUGCAACCCGACUCCAUGAAGUUGGAUUCGCUAGUAAUCGCGCAUCAGCCAUGGCGCGGUGAAUACGUUCCCGGGCCU